GAUGAACGCUGGCGGCGUGCCUAAUACAUGCAAGUCGAGCGAACAGACGAGGAGCUUGCUCCUCUGACGUUAGCGGCGGACGGGUGAGUAACACGUGGAUAACCUACCUAUAAGACUGGGAUAACUUCGGGAAACCGGAGCUAAUACCGGAUAAUAUAUUGAACCGCAUGGUUCAAUAGUGAAAGACGGUUUUGCUGUCACUUAUAGAUGGAUCCGCGCCGCAUUAGCUAGUUGGUAAGGUAACGGCUUACCAAGGCGACGAUGCGUAGCCGACCUGAGAGGAUGAUCGGCCACACUGGAACUGAGACACGGUCCAGACUCCUACGGGAGGCAGCAGUAGGGAAUCUUCCGCAAUGGGCGAAGGCCUGACGGAGCAACGCCGCGUGAGUGAUGAAGGUCUUCGGAUCGUAAAACUCUGUUAUUAGGGAAGAACAAAUGUGUAAGUAACUAGGCACGUCUUGACGGUACCUAAUCAGAAAGCCACGGCUAACUACGUG
rnacentral:rRNA from 1 species